UCGCCAUGUGUCUGUGCCGAUGGCUCACUAUCUUUCGCACUUCUCCUUGGCCACUUGUCGCUUUGUAAACCCUUCAGUGGCGCUCAAUACUGUGGCCCACGUUUAGCAUUCAGGACACACUCGCGGGGCUAAAAGAGAACUGCUGCAGGGACUGAUAGGGGAGAGUUUGCAUUCAGCUCCGGUCUCGUCCAUUGAUAGACCUUUAUUAACUUAACCAAGUCCUGGAUUUGCCACUUGGUUCCUCAUUUAUCAUGGGAGGCCUGGAGGCACAUGUUCAGAGCGUGGCUUUCUACAUGCUCUCUUACAACUAUGGAGGCCAGCCGGAUGUUUUAGAGGUUUGUGCAUGCGUACUGAGGACCACAGCCUGCUCAAACAGCACUGAAUAAACCAAUAUCAUCCAUGGGAAUCAGAUAUGUGGAGCGAUUCCAAGUAAGUGCACAUGUACAGCAGGAGACAACAACAGCAGUGCCAACUUUUAACACAAGUGCCUAAAAAUAAAUCGCUUUUAGCAACAA